UACGAAGGGGGCUAGCGUUGCUCGGAAUUACUGGGCGUAAAGCGCACGUAGGCGGUCUUUUAAGUCGGGGGUGAAAUCCUGGAGCUCAACUCCAGAACUGCCUUCGAUACUGGAAGACUUGAGUCCGGGAGAGGUGAGUGGAACUGCGAGUGUAGAGGUGAAAUUCGUAGAUAUUCGCAAGAACACCAGUGGCGAAGGCGGCUCACUGGCCCGGUACUGACGCUGAGGUGCGAAAGCGUGGGGAAGCAAACAGG
rnacentral:rRNA from 1 species